GACGAACGCUGGCGGCGUGCCUAAUACAUGCCAGUAGAACGCUGAAGGAGGAGCUUGCUCUUCUGGAUGAGUUGCGAACGGGUGAGUAACGCGUAGGUAACCUGCCUGGUAGCGGGGGAUAACUAUUGGAAACGAUAGCUAAUACCGCAUAAAAUUGAUUAUUGCAUGAUAGUCAAUUAAAAGGUGCAAUUGCAUCACUACCAGAUGGACCUGCGUUGUAUUAGCUAGUUGGUGAGGUAACGGCUCACCAAGGCAACGAUACAUAGCCGACCUGAGAGGGUGAUCGGCCACACUGGGACUGAGACACGGCCCAGACUCCUACGGGAGGCAGCAGUAGGGAAUCUUCGGCAAUGGACGGAAGUCUGACCGAGCAACGCCGCGUGAGUGAAGAAGGUUUUCGGACCGUAAAGCUCUGUUGUAAGAGAAGAACGAGUGUGAGAGUGGAAAGUUCACACUGUGACGGUAUCUUACCAGAAAGGGACGGCUAACUACGUG
rnacentral:rRNA from 1 species